ensembl:lncRNA
GAGUUCCAGUUGACCCACCUCAAACGUGGAAUAUAGAGCUACACAGCCCUCAGUCCUCCUUGGGUUAGGAUUCAGCUUGACAGGAGCUCUGUAACAAGCUUUUAGCUGACUUCCACAUCAGCUCUAACUAAACGCUAGCUUUCCCCUAACUGCUCCAAGCCUAGUUUAUAGCAGGCUGAGUGGCAGCCUAGCCCAAAGUGGGAUUAUGAUACUCCAACUUAGUUGUGGUUGAGUUUUAUGUGAACAUUUGUGUCCCUAUUUUAUCUGGCUUUUCUAGAUAAAAUGUCUAGGAGAAGGUAGGAAGUGACCAGAAUCAAGGUGAAAUUCUUGGUGCUGGAAUGAGAUACACUAAUUUUGUGGAUGUAGUUGGAGAGGGAUAGCUACCCGAAACCUGCAGAGUAAACAACUCAGACCUCAGGAGAUACGGAGAAUGGAGGGCAUUAAUAACUUUUUGUCUUUCUGAGUCACCCUUAGUGAGGGCCAAAGAAAAAUCUGGAAAUCAUCUUGGGAAAGGACAGGGUUAGUAUUGGAGCAGAUGGUAGGGCAGGCGCUGUGGGUUCAUAUCCUUUUGGUCUCUCCACAUCACCCUUCAGGGUCCUUUGGGACUGUUCCGGCUCUCUGUGAUGUGGAUGUGGAGUUUUAUUGAGCAUGCAUGCUCACUGCCUCGCUGUCUGAGGCUACAGGUGUAGAUGAUGGGGAACUAUUACUUUUUUUUCUGAGAGAUUUAGUAUCUCAUGGCCGAGCUUAAGCUGAAUCUAUGGAGCAUUGUUCCGAUUCUCUACUUCUGUGAGCUGGAGCUCCUCCAUCUAGUUUCUACCAUCUAGAGACGAAUCUUGUCAAUACUUGGGUAAACCAAAGACAUAAGUCAGGUAAGGGAACCCUAGACAUAGCCUGACUCUUGCCUUGUUCCUCUUCUCACUUGAACUCUUGUUGGCUCAGAGAGAUCCUCCCAGAUGAAAUCUCUCAGGAGUGAUUAGAACAUUGUAUUCUAGAGAAGCUGGGGGAACAGGGCAGGGUCCCAGUUCAAAGAUUCUGUCAAAAGCUUCCAGUCUGUGUGUAGUAAGUAAAUCUAGAAACGAUCCUAGAGCUCUGGAUGGAUCACUAAGAGAGGGGAGGAUUUCUGUAGAUCAGAAUACCAGGACACACGUCCCUGAGUCACCUUCUGGGGUCAGAUUCUUGGUUAAACCUGUGUGGUAGGGCUGUAGAGCAGCGUAUGCCUGGGAAAGCCUCUGAUCACACAUUUCCUCAGGGAUUUUUUUAGGCCUGAUUUCCCUUUGAAUUUACUUUUACAAUCCUUUUGUAAUUUUAUUUUUCACGUCAAUUGUAACUUAUAAAUUGGUAUUAUUAUACAUAUGUAGGCAUUUGGGUGUGUUUUGAAGGCAUGGCCUACUUCAAACUGAUUUGUGGUAUAUUGAAUUACGCCCAUUUACUGGAAUUAUCAACUGCUUUCCUCCAACUACACCAAGAGCUGAGGAUUUGGGGAGGUCAGGAUGGAGAUGAAAUAGAAGAGAGGAGAAAACAGCUCUCUAUUCCACAUGCAGAUUCUUUAUGGAUAAAAUGCAUAAUUACCUAAAAUGUAAAAUACUCAAAAAACUAUCUAAUCAGUAUGUAAUGGAAAUUAUACAGCAAAGAACAAAACAAAUACCAAAAUACUUUUCUUUUUUCUACAUAAACAUUAAAUAAUUUAUAUAAUGAAAUAUUGUGUGAUCCCAGUGUAAAAUGCCAAUAGAAUAUAUGUAAAAACAAAAGACAGUAUCUGUAUUAGAUUUAAAAUCUCCUACAAUACAUAAGAUGAAUUGAGACAAAUUGAUGGGUGCAGCACACCAACAUGGCACAAGUAUACAUAUGUAACAAACCUGCACGUUAUGCACAUGUACCCUAGAACUUAAAGUAUAAUAAUUAAAAAAAAAAAAAAA